rnacentral:rRNA from 1 species
UGCGUAGGCGGUGCAGAAAGUCGGGAGUGAAAUCCCACAGCUCAACUGUGGAAUUGCUUUCGAUACUGCUGUGCUUGAGUGAGAUAGAGGUAAGCGGAACUUAGGGUGGAGCGGUGAAAUGCGUUGAUAUCCUAAGGAACACCGGUGGCGAAGGCGGCUUACUGGGUCUCUACUGACGCUGAUGCACGAAAGGCCAGGGUAGCAACG